GACGAACGCUGGCGGCGUGCUUAACACAUGCAAGUCGAACGGAAAGGCCCUGCUUUUGUGGGGUGCUCGAGGGGCGAACGGGUGAGGAACACGUGAGUAACCUGCCCUUGACUUUGGGAUAACUUCAGGAAACUGGGGCUAAUACCGGAUAGGAGCUCCUGCUGCAUGGUGGGGGUUGGAAAGUUUCGGCGGUUGGGGAUGGACUCGCGGCUUAUCAGCUUGUUGGUGGGGUAGUGGCUUACCAAGGCUUUGACGGGUAGCCGGCCUGAGAGGGUGACCGGCCACAUUGGGACUGAGAUACGGCCCAGACUCCUACGGGAGGCAGCAGUGGGGAAUAUUGCACAAUGGGAGGAAGCCUGAUGCAGCAACGCCGCGUGCGGGAUGACGGCCUUCGGGUUGUAAACCGCUUUCGCCUGUGACGAAGCGUGAGUGACGGUAAUGGGUAAAGAAGCACCGGCUAACUACGUG
rnacentral:rRNA from 1 species